UACGGAGGGCUCUAGCGUUGUUCGGAAUUACUGGGCGUAAAGCGCACGUAGGCGGCUUUGUAAGUUAGAGGUGAAAGCCCGGGGCUCAACUCCGGAACUGCCUUUAAGACUGCAUCGCUUGAAUCCAGGAGAGGUGAGUGGAAUUCCGAGUGUAGAGGUGAAAUUCGUAGAUAUUCGGAAGAACACCAGUGGCGAAGGCGGCUCACUGGACUGGUAUUGACGCUGAGGUGCGAAAGCGUGGGGAGCAAACAGG
rnacentral:rRNA from 1 species